UACGAAGGGGGCGAGCGUUGUUCGGAUUUACUGGGCGUAAAGGGCGCGCAGGCGGCUCAUUUUGUCAGGCGUGAAAGCCCCGGGCUUAACCUGGGAACUGCGUUUGAUACGGAUGGGCUAGAGUUCGGGAGAGGAGAGUGGAAUUCCGAGUGUAGAGGUGAAAUUCGUAGAUAUUCGGAGGAACACCAGUGGCGAAGGCGGCUCACUGGUCCAUUACUGACGCUGAGGUGCGAAAGCGUGGGGAGCAAACAGG
rnacentral:rRNA from 1 species